GAGGCAAAGGCAGCACAUAUACUAAAAUUGGAACGAUAAAGACAAGAUUAACAUGGCCCCUGAGCAAGAAUAACGCACAAAUUCUUGAAGUGUUCCAUAUUUAA